rnacentral:rRNA from 1 species
UCCCGGUGUAGCAGUGAAAUGCGUAGAGAUCGGGAGGAACAUCCAUGGCGAAGGCAGCUACCUGGACCAACACUGACACUGAGGCACGAAAGCGUGGGGAGCAAACAGGAUUAGAUACCCUGGUAGUCCACGCCCUAAACGAUGCGAACUGGAUGUUGGGUGCAAUUUGGCACGCAGUAUCGAAGCUAACGCGUUAAGUUCGCCGCCUGGGGAGUACGGUCGCAAGACUGAAACUCAAAGGAAUUGACGGGGGCCCGCACAAGCGGUGGAGUAUGUGGUUUAAUUCGAUGCAACGCGAAGAACCUUACCUGGUCUUGACAUGUCGAGAACUUUCCAGAG